rnacentral:rRNA from 1 species
GACGAACGCUGGCGGCGUGCUUAACACAUGCAAGUCGAACGGAAAGGCCCUGCUUUUGUGGGGUGCUCGAGUGGCGAACGUGUGAGUAACACGUGAGUAACCUUCCCUUGACUUUGGGAUAACUUCAGGAAACUGGGGCUAAUACCGGAUAGGAGCUCCUGCUGCAUGGUGGGGGUUGGAAAGUUUCGGCGGUUGGGGAUGGACUCGCGGCUUAUCAGCUUGUUGGUGGGGUAGUGGCUUACCAAGGCUUUGACGGGUAGCCGGCCUGAGAGGGUGACCGGCGACAUUGGGACUGAGAUACGGCCCAGACGCCUACGGGAGGCAGCAGUGGGGAAUAUUGCACAAUGGGCGGAAGCCUGAUGCAGCAACGCCGCGUGCGGGAUGACGGCCUUCGGGUUGUAAACCGCUUUCGCCUGUGACGAAGCGGGAGUGACGGUAAUGGGUAAAGAAGCACCGGCUAACUACGUG